rnacentral:tRNA from 1 species
AUGGGGUGGAGUAGAGGCACCUCGUUUAGGCUCAUAAUCUAAAAAGCGCAGGUUCGAUCCCUGCUCCCGUUG